UAAGUUGAAAAAUGAAGCCUUCAUUUGCUGUGCCGUAGCUAGAACCUGAUGAAAGAAUCUGGAUAUACUUUUCAUAGCUUAAAUGCCUAAUGGUCCUUGUAUGCUUCCAUUAUCUGUUAGCUACUUCUGCUCUGAUUAAGAAUUGUCCAUUAUCACAUCUUAAAUGCAGUGGAGCACGUCAAGUGAAGCAUAUUGAUAUGAUACAAGGAACCCGUUGAUUGAUUUUGGAUUAUAUUCUAAUAUAGUAUAAUAUGCUAAUCAGGUGCGUCAGGUUUUGAUAUUAUUUUCUUAAGCUUUUAAUUGCUUCACCGGAUAAAGAUUUUUGUAUGGUCUGACCAUGAACAUCUCUGUCAAGGGCAUA